AUUGAACGCUGGCGGCAGGCUUAACACAUGCAAGUCUAGCGAGCGGCGGACGGGUGAGUAAUGUCUGGGAAACUACCUGAGGGAGGGGGAUAACGACUGGAAACGGUAGCUAAUACCGCAUACCAACCACUGUGCCCAGAUGGGCUUAGCUAAUAGGUGGGGUAAUGGCUACCCUAGGUGACGAUCCCUAGCUGGUCUGAGAGGAUGACCAGCCACACUGGAACUGAGACACGGUCCAGACUCCUACGGGAGGCAGCAGUGGGGAAUAUUGCAAGAUGGGCGCAAGCCUGAGGCAGCCAUGCCGCGUGUGUGAAGAAGGCCUUCGGGUUGUAAAGCACUUUCAGCGAGGAGGCGUUACUCGCAGAAGAAGCACCGGCUAACUCCGUGCCAGCAGCCGCGGUAAUAC
rnacentral:rRNA from 1 species